GGGGGUUUAGUAUAGUGGUAUUAUGACAGUCUCCAAAACUGAGGAUAAGGGUUCGAUUCCUUUAACCCCCG
rnacentral:tRNA from 1 species